UAUUGGGCGUAAAGGGCGCGCAGGCGGUUCGUUAAGUUCGAGGUGAAAUCUCCUGGCUCAACUGGGAGGGGUCUUCGGAUACUGGCGGACUUGAGGAGAGCAGAGGUGAGUGGAAUUCUGGGUGUAGUGGUGAAAUGCGUAGAUAUCCAGAGGAACACCAGUGGCGAAGGCGACUCACUGGGCUCCACCUGACGCUGAGGCGCGAAAGCGUGGGGAGCGAACCGGAUUAGAUACCCGGGUAGUCCACGCCGUAAACGAUGGACACUAGAUGUGGGGGGUAUUGACCCCCUCCGUGUCGCAGCUAACGCAAUAAGUGUCCCGCCUGGGGAGUACGGCCGCAAGGCUGAAACUCAAAGGAAUUGACGGGGGCCCGCACAAGCAGCGGAGCGUGUGGUUUAAUUCGACGCAACGCGAAGAACCUUACCAAGGCUUGACAUGCUGGUAGUACCGAACCGAAAGGUGAGGGACCCUUCGGGGAGCCAGUGCAGGUGAUGCAUGGCUGUCGUCAGCUCGUGCCGUGAGGUGUCGGGUUAAGUCCCGCAACGAGCGCAACCCCUGUUGCCAGUUGUAUUUUUCUGGCGAGACUGCUGAGAUCAACUCAGAGGAAGGCGGGGAUGACGUCAAGUCAGCACGUCCCUUACGUCUUGGGCUACACACACGCUACAAUGGCCGGCACAGAGGGUUGCUAAAGAGCGAUCUGGAGCUAAUCCCACAAAACCGGCCCCAGUUCAGAUUGCAGGCUGAAACUCGCCUGCAUGAAGGCGGAGUUGCUAGUAACCGCAGGUCAGCACAC
rnacentral:rRNA from 1 species